rnacentral:lncRNA from 1 species
AAAAGAUUUAUCAUAUUUUAAGAACUGAGUAUAAGAAAGCAAGCAGGGACUGAGAUGGUGCAGUGGUAAAGAACUCUUGCUGCUCUUACCUUGGACCUGAGUUCAGUUCCCAGCACCCAUGUCACAGCUGUCACUCCCUCUCCAGGGAAUCUAGUGCCCUCUACUGGCUUCCAAGGGCACUGCACUCACAUACACAAACUCAAGCCAACAAACAAUAUACACACAUAGUAAAAGUAAAGGAAUCUUGAAGCAAGCAACCCAAUUAAAAAGACAUUAUUUUGUGUGUAUGGGUAUUUUACCUACACAUAUUUUACCUACCACUUGCAUGUUUGGUGCCCACAGAGACCAGUAAAGGUUGUCAGAUCCCUUAGAACUGGAGUUGCAGAUGGUUAUAAGCUGCCAUGUGGGUGCUGGGAAUUGAACCCAGGUCCUCUGGAACAGCAGCUAGUGCUCUUAACCACUGAGCCAUCUCUUCAGCCCUUCAACACAAUUUAUUAUUUUUCCUUUAAAUACUUAUUUAUUAUGUGUACAGUGUUCAGCUUGCAUGUAUGCCUGUAGGCCAGAAGAGGGCACCAAAUCUCAUUAUAUAUGGUCGUGAGCCACCAUGUGGUUGCUGGGAAUUGAAGUCAAGACCUUUGGAAGAGCUGGCAGUGCUCUUAACCGCUGAGCCAUCUCUCCAGCCCCUUCAACACAAUUUAAAAGUAAAUAUUUGAACAGAUGUCUGCUGAAGUUUUCUUGUCCCACCAGGUCCCACUGCCCUUCUCAGCCCCAAAUAAACACAGAGACACUAUAUUAGUUAUUAAACUGUUGGCCGAUGACUAGGGCUUCUUACUGGCUAACUCUGUCCUAAUUAUUAACCCGUUUCUAUUAAUCUAUGUAUUUCCACAUGGUCUUGGCUUACCAGGCCUUCUACUUCUUUGUCAACUACAUGGUUCUGGCGGGUUCCCUCUGCCUAUCUUUCUCAGAAUUCUGCUCACCUCCUAGUUCCACUUAUCUUACUGCCUCAUUGACCAAACAGUGUUUAUUCAUCAGCCAAUAAGAGAAACAUGUAUACAGAAGAACAUCCCCAUCACAGACUCUUCAUCAAAAAAGAUGCACAGGAGCUGUCAAGAUGGCACAGUGGGGGGCUGGAGAGAUGGCUCAGAGGUUAAGAGCACUGGCUGCUCUUCCAGAGGUCCUUAGUUCAAUUCCCAGCAAACACAUGGUGGCUCACAACCAUCCGUUAUGAGAUCUGGUCCCCUCUUCUGGUGUGCAGAUAUACAUGGAAGCAGA